rnacentral:rRNA from 1 species
GAUGAACGCUGGCGGCGUGCUUAACACAUGCAAGUCGAACGGAAAGGCCCAAGCUUGCUUGGGUACUCGAGUGGCGAACGGGUGAGUAACACGUGGGUGAUCUGCCCUGCACUUCGGGAUAAGCCUGGGAAACUGGGUCUAAUACCGGAUAGGACGAUGGUUUGGAUGCCAUUGUGGAAAGUUUUUUCGGUGUGGGAUGAGCUCGCGGCCUAUCAGCUUGUUGGUGGGGUAAUGGCCUACCAAGGCGUCGACGGGUAGCCGGCCUGAGAGGGUGUACGGCCACAUUGGGACUGAGAUACGGCCCAGACUCCUACGGGAGGCAGCAGUGGGGAAUAUUGCACAAUGGGCGCAAGCCUGAUGCAGCGACGCCGCGUGGGGGAUGACGGCCUUCGGGUUGUAAACUCCUUUCGCUAGGGACGAAGCGUUUUUGUGACGGUACCUGGAGGAGAAGCACCGGCUAACUACGUG